UCAAACUUGGUCAUUUAGAGGAAGUACAAGUCGUAACAAGGUUUCCGUAGGUGAACCUGCGGAAGGAUCAUUAACAAAUCCAUGUGUUGUACGAUGUUUUCAUCGUACAAUAUAUAAGUGCACCAGCAGCCUGCUGGAAUGCAAAAUAUUCAUGAUUAGUGAUAUAACAAAUAGUGUAUUAUCUAAAAUGUAAACAUACUUUUAACAAUGGAUCUCUUGGCUCUUGCAUCGAUGAAGAACGCAGC
rnacentral:misc_RNA from 1 species